rnacentral:rRNA from 1 species
GAUGAACGCUAGCUGGAGGCUUAAUACAUGCAAGUCGAGCGGGAUUGGGUAGCAAUACCCAUGAGAGCGGCGCACGGGUGAGUAACGCGUACACGACCUACCUCUAACAGGGGGAUAGCCCUGGGAAACUGGGAUUAAUACCGCAUAUUAUUCUGAAUAAUAAAGGUUUGGAAUGAAAGCUGAGGCGGUUAGAGAUGGGUGUGCGUCUGAUUAGCUAGUUGGUAGGGUAACGGCCUACCAAGGCGAUGAUCAGUAGGGGGCGUGAGAGCGUGGUCCCCGACACGGGUACUGAGACACGGACCCGACUCCUACGGGAGGCAGCAGUAAGGAAUAUUGGUCAAUGGGCGAAAGCCUGAACCAGCCAUCCAGCGUGCAGGAAGAAGGCCCUAUGGGUUGUAAACUGCUUUUAUCAGGGAAGAAACCUCUGGAUUUACUCCGGAGCUGACGGUACCUGAAGAAUAAGCACCGGCUAACUCCGUGCCAGCAGCCGCUGUAAAAC